GUUCGGUGAGCAUCAGAAUUCUUGAGAAGUUACUUUGCUAGUCUAGUGGAUUUAAUUAUAAGUGACAAGAGCUACUUUUCUUAGCGAGGGCAGUUGAAGAUGCCUGAUCAUGCUAAUCUUCGGUACAAGUGCAGGACAUAUGCAUGCCUUCUACAACAUUUGAAGAGUCUUGAUAAGAAUUGCAUGGGCCCUCUAAGGAAAGCUUAUUGUCAUUCCCUUAAUUUGUUGCUUCGUCGAGAGGCUCGUGAGUUUACGAAUGAACUUCAUGCCAGUACCAAAGCAUCAAGAAAUCCAACAGUCUAGCUUGAAGCUUCUGCAGGUUCUAAUCAGGCUACGAACAGUGCAGACACUUCUAUAGUUUCUGAAGCAUACUCGAAGAUGCUUAGAAUAUUUAUCC